rnacentral:lncRNA from 1 species
GGGGACUGUACUGCAAGCUGUCCUUCACCUGGACCCCAGACAGUGGAAGGCAUGCUAUGGGACACGUUCUGUAUUGUCUGGACACUCCAUAACUAGCCUACUGAGCAGGUGAUAAAGUUCCAGUUGGAUAGGAAGAGAGGAAGACUGGUACCUGCAUCAUGCGCUGACCCAUUGGAGUGCAAAUGGGAAGAAGGAAAAGAUAGAAGUGACUCAGCAAGUAGAUGCCAACUAAGAGCCAGGGACAAGGUAAGGAGGAAAGAAAGCUAU